rnacentral:rRNA from 1 species
CAAAACAACAAAAAGACAGUCUCAGUUCAGAUUGUAGGCUGAAACUCGCCUAUAUGAAGUCGGAAUUGCUAGUAAUCGCAGAUCAGCAUGCUGCGGUGAAUACGUUCCCGGGCCUUGUACACACCGCCCGUCACACCAUGAGAGUCGAUAACACCCGAAGCCUGUAGUCUAACCAUAAGGAGGACGCAGUCGAAGGUGGGAUUGAUAAUUAGGGUGAAGUCGUAACAAGGUAAC